ACCUUGAGAUCUACCUGGAAUAUAGCAAAAGCACUUAAAAUUUGCUACUUUCUCUAUUCUGCAUUUCAGCUUUACAUAGGCAAGCAGCUUUCAUCUUACUUGAUGCUUAAUCAAGUUCCCUCACUGAAAAGAGCCGAAAGCGCUCCUUAGCUUCUCAGCUCCUAACUGAGAAUUUCACUUUUGAUUCAAACUUUUGGAAGAAAAUACUACCAGAGAUAGUCACUUACUUGGAAUCAAUGCUACUGGUCUUACUUUCAGCGAAGACCCAAUGACAAUGAGGAGAUCAACUUCAUUUUUGUCGUACUUCAUGGCCCGGUGGAACUGCUCGGAGCAGAAUCCUCAUUUGCUGACAGAAGUGGAUGAGAGUUAUGUUUGUGGAGAAUAGACUCCUUUUCCUCCUGAAAGCAGAGGGUUUUCUGAUCUUUGGGACCUCUUUCAACUCUUUCUUAUCUUAAGACUUUUUCAGAGAGAAGAGAAGCAAGAAGAGCUGUUGGAAAACCAUACCUUUGCAAACUUAAAGAAGGGUCUGGGAUCCUUUCUGAAGUAUUCUAUAUCAAACAUUGCUUGAGGAUCUGGAAGGUCUGGGAAGUCUACAGCAAGGCGUGCAUAGAUGCCAUCUCUGGAUCUAAAGUCAGGUAUUCCACAAGACACAGACACCUGAAACACAGUUUUGCAAUCUGAAGUAAGUGAAACUACAUAUAGGGCUAUAAAGAGCUGCUGUGAUAGAAACUCUGGGAAACCACACUUCUGUAUGCUCAGAGACAUUAAGAACAAAACCACUCUGGGUUCUCUGUAUUUAUUUUUCUUUCCUUUUUUUUCUUUUUUUUUUGGACAGUGGGGGGACAAUAUAACAAUUCCCAAACCACAAGCAGGGGAAGCAGCACAGAAACAAAGUUUGUUUACCACUUGCGUUUACCACUGGAAGUUUUGUAAAAUGUGAACAAAAGUUUUGAAUAUUGUUGCAUUAAAUUUCUUUAGUAAGCAUUCACUCAUCUGCCAGCUCAGGCCUAGAAAAGGUGGUUGAUAUUUUUAAUUUUUUUUUCGUGCUAACACAGUAACACAAUAGAUUCUUACUUUUGAAGGAUAAACUUCUUUUGAUAAAAACUGUUUAUUAAUAAAUACUGUUUAUCAAAGCAUUGUAGUAGUCAAUAAGGACUAAUAUUAUUGUCUCAGACUACCUCAAAAUACCAUGGGAAGAGGAGGAGAAACAGGUGUAUGAAAGUAUAGUGAGCAAGACAGCAAGACUGGGUAACAAGAAUAGCAGUGCUCUUUGAAAAACUGAUCUGAAUCGUGUCAUACCAUCUGUGUGUGAACAACAGAAGCAAAAAAUGAUCUGGUAAACAGAUAAAACUGUUUGCAUUCUGGGGAGAAUUAACUGUUCAGAGGCAGAGAGCAUCUAAGAACAUCAUACAGGCAUCUACCUAUACGUGGUCUUGGG